ensembl:lncRNA
CUCCUACAUCACACCCAGAGCAGCCAGUGAAGAGCACAGCAAGUAUCCAAAUGGACACAAAUUGCAUCACUUCUUAAUGAGAAUUAAUAUCUCAGCUGUGGCACUGGGGGACCUCAGUCAUGCACCAAGACACGAGAGCGGAUGGCAUUUUAGAGACUUAACAAAAAGGAGACCUCGUUUCAAGAAGUGUCUCAGGAGAGCACCAAUUAAGAAGAAAACACAUGUGACACCAACUGAAGUUCCCAAUCAUUUUUUAAGGGUCAGUCUCACAGAGGAGGACCUGCCUGUCAUCUGUUUGUUAGGGUAUUUGUUUGCUGCCCUCUCUCCCCAGGAAAUGCUGAACAGAAAUGAUUGCUUUUGUCUUUCUGCAUCUCUUCCCAUUUCCAAAGUGCUUUUCUACUACUUUGAUAUUCCUCAUGGGGCUUGGAUGAAAGCCCAUUGAAGACUAUUCGAAUUUUCUGACUGACUUCUGGAAGAUAUUGUUGAAAGGACAAAGCACUAAGUAUAACACAACUCAGCAACAGCUUUCUGCCUGGGGUUUGGGGAUGGGCUAAGUGACUUCUACUUAUCCUCUCGCUAGGCUUUAGUUUCUCUGACUCUCUGAAACUUGAGAAAACCAUCUCAGCACCAUUUUGAAGGACAAAGACCUGCCGAUUCCAGGAGGAAGCACAGAACAGUCCUUUGAAAGGGUCAUCUACUGAGAAGUAAACUUUCUUACAUACGUAGCUCUGAAUUUUGAAAGUAGCUCAGGGCAAAUGUGGGUAAUGUUGAAACUGGUUUAUUUCUGUCAGAAAGUUAGGCUUUUAGUUGAAGCUAGUCAUUUAAGCCGUAGAAAGAGAGGCUGUUGCCUUCGAAGGAUGAAUCAUGCACCCACUUUAGGCACUGCACAUUGGAAAAGGUGACUCACCCUCUGGAAAUGCCUCCCUUUCUCUCCACAGCCAUUAGAUGAAACCUGGAUCACCAGCUUAGACACCCCAACUUUUAAAUGGCUAAAACUAGGUACAAGUAAUCCUUCCUGAAGAAGACACAGAGAUUAACAUGCUUCCCAGAACAGCACUAGGAUGGAUAUCACACCACUGUUGUUCCAUCUGUAGGAUGCUUGAGGCAGGUGAAGGUCUUGCUGCCCAGCAGUGGGUCAGGCCAGAUUCAGGCUUAAUCUCAGCUGAGCUCUCCUGUGAAACAGCAGCCCUGCUUUCUGCUUGUAAUGUUAUAACAUAAAGGAAAGUACAGCAAUAAAAACAAGGCAGUAAAAUCCUAAGCUGCACCCUUGUCUCCCUCCUGCCAACCCUUAAAUGAGGUCUGGGAAGGGGUAGAUCCUGGCUCCACCCCUUCCACUCACUCAGGUGCAUUGCAUACACCUGAGCAUCCCUAGGUUGGCCCUGCCUUUCCACCAGGUGCUCAAUCACUGCUUCAGGCUGUGACUUAGCAUUUCUGUGACCGUGCUGUAGGGCAUAGAGCCCUCAGAGCCCAGGGUGUCUUCAAAAACCCUUUACCUCCUGUUCUCCACCAUGCCACUUGGACACCACACACAUGGGCUGUGAUGCCUUCUUUCCAUCCUGAGUUCACUAACUCUGUUCCAACAUCUCCAGCAAGUUUGGCUUGGUGUCUCUGAUACUACACCCCAAGAUCCUGUGAGCAGAUGGGAAUUGAGAACAGCGCUCAGCAGCAUUUCUCAGAUGUGCCUGCAGCUGGGCUGGCUGUGCCCAUCCCUGCUGUGUCAGCCUGGAAGCACCAGUCCAGCACUUGACAAUAUUCCUGGAGCACGGCCAAUUCUCUGAUGACAGCGCAUGAGAGCAGUGUUCACGUUUCCCAUUUCCACAAAGCCACGUGACAGAAAAGAAGUCAGGACUGGUACUUGCUUUUUCAUGCUCAGAGUUUCUCCCUUGCAUUCUGUUGAGGGCUGCAUCAUUAUAUUCAUUUAUAAAAGUGACCUGAAGACAAAUGCGCACAAGCCUUCUUGCCUUCCCAUUGCUAUCUUGGAGGCAAGGCUCCAGUUUUUAGCCAUAUGACACAGUGAGAUAAGCCUUACAAUAAAAAGCAAACAAUGCAAGGCCAGCCCCGGGCCUCCAAGUCGCGAUCUCCGUUUGUUCAGCAUUUUCCCAGAAGGUUGUUGGAGAUACCUGUGGGUACGGCUGAAUGCAGAGAGUCGACUUUGCAGAAGCAAAGAGCACAGCAUUCUGGGUUAUUAAACCAUUUGUCUUACAGCCCCGGGGAAAAUGAGUUUGCUACAGAAAGUCACUAAUGGACCGAGUUUCCUCAUCUCAAGCUUUCUUCUCUGCGUUUCGCAGCAUCCCCAGCUUGGCACCAUUGUAAGCAUGAGCACCAACUUGUGUUGAGAAGAGAGCAGAGACCGAGAAAUGCAAAAGAGGGAUGUGUCAGAAAAGCUAUUUUUGAAACUGUCUCUGGCUCUUGACUGCAUUAUCUCCAGAUCUCCCCUCGACUGCAUUUUUUCAUCGUUCAUGGUAGGUUGAAGGCAUUUUUCAGCACGGUGUUAAAAGAACAUUGCAAAUUCAUCAAGAAUUUCCCUCAUAAUUAACAAAACAGAAACAAAAACAGAGUUGAGACUGUCAAAAAAUUCAUUCUAGGAGUAAACUAUAUUCUCUAUGGCACAGUAAUACAAUAUGCUGUUAAAUUCUUUCACUCAGAAGGGAAUAAAGGAUAUUUGAGCAUAAAUGCAUUAUCCACAAUCCACAAUAGCACAGCCUAUCCCCCUGUGGAUAAUGCUAUUAGUGCUACAUUUCAAAUUAAAAAGCAUAUGCUCUUCUUUCAAAAACAAGGGAGUGCUGCCCACUUCCUUCACUUGACUAAAAACAAAAGCUUUUAAAGUGAUAAAACAGCAUUCAUUUGAUAAAAACAACCAUCUGCACCUGAUUUAGCUAAGUGUUGGCUUUUAAUGACAAAUUGCUGGUUGGGGAAAAAUUAAAUGCAAGCAUAAAGGUUGACUUGAUUUGACCACAAACUGGUUUCUGCUAUCCCCACCAGUCCUACCCCUAAUUCUGAUGCCAAAUUGUGACCUUAAAGAACAAAUUUCAAUCAAGGGCUCUUUGAAUCAUUUUACUUACAAUCCCACUAACAAUCAAGCUCCCAGGCUCACCUCCUCUCUUCUCAACCUAUUAGUCUGCAUUAGUUAAAGUGGGUUGCUUAUUAAGUUUUUUAUAUCUUCAGAAUAAUUUGGAAAGACACCAAGGUCUUAAUGUACCAGAUUUCCAUAACGCAACGUGAUAUUAACAAACAUCACACUCCAUCAAUGAUCUGUGCAGCAGGCAUCCUUAAAGCAUGUAAUUAAAAUAACAGAAGAUAACAUCAGCCACAAAAAAAAAGAAAAGAAAAGAAAGUGGAGGAGGGAACACAACUGUCGUUUUAUGAAGAGGCCACACUGAGAUCGCUCCUUUGAGGUUGGGACAUGGCAGCAACAUGGCAACAGGGAAAAUGUUGCUCUGAUAGUGCACCAAACUAAAGAGGGACAUAAUAUUGCAUGGAUCAUCCUCAGAACAACAGCAGCUAGCACAGUCAGAAUGGAAGAUGGGUGGUUGAGUAUAAAGGUGUUCCUUUAGGAAUAGUUAUGCAGACUUACAGAAAAAUCCUCAAGUGUUAUAACUAUUCCUUAGAUUUUUUCAAUCAAUGGGAAGCAACACCUGGCUGCUAAGAGUGCUUUUCCUUAGGAGACCUCAAAGGCUUUGCCAAGGAAGUCAAUGUUGGGUUCUGCACACAUUAAUCUCUCCUGGUGUUCCUAUGCCAUUCUGCCAGGCAUCCCCACACAGGUGGAUGUGCCAUGGUGGGACAGGAGGGGUACUAACAAAACAAUCAGCCCAGAAGCCAAAAUUGCCAUGUUUGCUCUUUGCGCU